ACCAGCAGGUAGCCUAGUGGUUAGAGGCAGGUAGCCUAGUGGUUAGAGGCAGGUAGCCUAGUGGUUAGAGGCAGGUAGCCUAGUGGUUAGUGUUGGACUAGUAUCCAGCAGGUAGCCUAGUGGUUAGAGACAGGUAGUGGUUAGAGACAGGUAGCCUAGUGGUUAGAGUGUUGGACUAGUAACCAGCAGGUAGCCUAGUGGUUAGAGUGUUGGACUAGUAACCAGCAGGUAGCCUAGUGGUUAGAGGCAGGUAGCCUAGUGGUUAGAUAAGGUAGCCUAGUGGUUAGAGGCAGGUAGCCUAGUGGUUAGAGGCAGGUAGCCUAGUGGUUAGUGUUGGACUAGUAUCCAGCAGGCAGCCUAGUGGUUAGAGGCAGGUAGCCUAGUGGUUAGAGAAGGUAGCCUAGUGGUUAGAGACAGGUAGCCUAGUGGUUAGAGACAGGUAGCCUAGUGGUUAGAGACAGGUAGCCUAGUGGUUAGAGGCAGGUAGCCUAGUGGUUAGAGACAGGUAGCCUAGUGGUUAGAGACAGGUAGCCUAGUGGUUAGAGACAGGUAGCCUAGUGGUUAGAGACAGGUAGCCUAGUGGUUAGAGACAGGUAGCCUAGUGGUUAGAGACAGGUAGCCUAGUGGUUAGAGGCAGGUAGCCUAGUGGUUAGAGGCAGGUAGCCUAGUGGUUAGAGACAGGUAGCCUAGUGGUUAGAGACAGGUAGCCUAGUGGUUAGAGGCAGGUAGCCUAGUGGUUAGAGGCAGGUAGCCUAGUGGUUAGAGGCAGGUAGCCUAGUGGUUAGAGACAGGUAGCCUAGUGGUUAGAGACAGGUAGCCUAGUGGUUAGAGGCAGGUAGCCUAGUGGUUAGAGGCAGGUAGCCUAGUGGUUAGAGACAGGUAGCCUAGUGGUUAGAGACAGGUAGCCUAGUGGUUAGAGACAGGUAGCCUAGUGGUUAGAGGCAGGUAGCCUAGUGGUUAGAGGCAGGUAGCCUAGUGGUUAGAGGCAGGUAGCCUAGUGGUUAGAGGCAGGUAGCCUAGUGGUUAGAGGCAGGUAGCCUAGUGGUUAGAGACAGGUAGCCUAGUGGUUAGAGGCAGGUAGCCUAGUGGUUAGAGACAGGUAGCCUAGUGGUUAGAGACAGGUAGCCUAGUGGUUAGAGGCAGGUAGCCUAGUGGUUAGAGACAGGUAGCCUAGUGGUUAGAGAAGGUAGCCUAGUGGUUAGAGGCAGGUAGCCUAGUGGUUAGAGGCAGGUAGCCUAGUGGUUAGAGAAGGUAGCCUAGUGGUUAGAGACAGGUAGCCUAGUGGUUAGAGACAGGUAGCCUGGUGGUUAGAGGCAGGUAGCCUAGUGGUUAGAGACAGGUAGCCUAGUGGUUAGAGACAGGUAGCCUAGUGGUUAGAGGCAGGUAUCCUAGUGGUUAGAGGCAGGUAGCCUAGUGGUUAGAGACAGGUAGCCUAGUGGUUAGAGACAGGUAGCCUAGUGGUUAGAGACAGGUAGCCUAGUGGUUAGAGGCAGGUAGCCUAGUGGUUAGAGGCAGGUAGCCUAGUGGUUAGAGGCAGGUAGCCUAGUGGUUAGAGACAGGUAGCCUAGUGGUUAGAGACAGGUAGCCUAGUGGUUAGAGACAGGUAGCCUAGUGGUUAGAGACAGGUAGCCUAGUGGUUAGAGACAGGUAGCCUAGUGGUUAGAGGCAGGUAGCCUAGUGGUUAGAGGCAGGUAGCCUAGUGGUUAGAGGCAGGUAGCCUAGUGGUUAGAGACAGGUAGCCUAGUGGUUAGAGACAGGUAGCCUAGUGGUUAGAGACAGGUAGCCUAGUGGUUAGAGACAGGUAGCCUAGUGGUUAGAGGCAGGUAGCCUAGUGGUUAGAGACAGGUAGCCUAGUGGUUAGAGACAGGUAGCCUAGUGGUUAGAGACAGGUAGCUUACUGGUUAGAGGCAGGUAGCCUAGUGGUUAGUGGCAGGUAGCCUAGUGGUUAGAGGCAGGUAGCCUAGUGGUUAGAGACAGGUAGCCUAGUGGUUAGAGACAGGUAGCCUAGUGGUUAGAGACAGGUAGCCUAGUGGUUAGAGGCAGGUAGCCUAGUGGUUAGAGGCAGGUAGCCUAGUGGUUAGAGGCAGGUAGUCUAGUGAUUAGAGAGCAGGUAGCCUAGUGGUUAGAGGCAGGUAGCCUAGUGGUUAGAGGCAGGUAGCCUAGUGGUUAGAGUGUUGGACUAGUAACCAGCAGGUAGUCUAGUGGUUAGAGUGUUGGACUAGUAACCAGCAGGUAGCCUAGUGGUUAGAGUGUUGGACUAGUAACCAGCAGGUAGCCUAGUGGUUAGAGCGUUGGACUAGUAACCAGCAGGUAGCCUAGUGGUUAGAGCGUUGGACUAGUAACCAGCAGGUAGCCUAGUGGUCAGAGCGUUGGACUAGUAACCAGCAGGUAGCCUAGUGGUUAGAGCGUUGGACUAGUAACCAGCAGGUAGCCUAGUGGUUAGAGCGUUGGACUAGUAACCAGCAGGUAGACUAGUGGUUAGAGUGUUGGGCCGGUAACCGGAGGGUUGCUAGAUCGAAUCCCUGAGCUGACAAGGUAAAAAUCUGUCAUUCUGCCCCUGAACAAAGGCAGUUAACCCCACUGUUCCCCUGGACAAGGCAGUUAACCCCACUGUUCCCCUGGACAAGGCAGUUAACCCCACUGUUCCCCUGAACAAGGCAGUUAACCCCACUGUUCCCCUGAACAAGGCAGUUAACCCCACUGUUCCCCUGAACAAGGCAGUUAACCCCACUGUUCCCCUGGACAAGGCAGUUAACCCACUGUUCCCCUGAACAAGGCAGUUAACCCCACUGUUCCCCUGGACAAGGCAGUUAACCCCACUGUUCCCCUGGACAAGGCAGUUAACCCCACUGUUCCCCUGGACAAGGCAGUUACCCCCACUGUUCCCCUGGACAAGGCAGUUAACCCCACUGUUCCCCUGGACAAGGCAGUUAACCCCACUGUUCCCCUGAACAAGGCAGUUAACCCCACUGUUCCCCUGAACAAGGCAGUUAUCCCCACUGUUCCCCUGAACAAGGCAGUUAACCCCACUGUUCCCCUGAACAAGGCAGUUAACCCCCUGUUCCCCUGGACAAGGCAGUUAACCCACUGUUCCCCUGAACAAGGCAGUUAACCCCACUGUUCCCCUGGACAAGGCAGUUACCCCCACUGUUCCCCUGGACAAGGCAGUUAACCCACUGUUCCCCUGAACAAGGCAGUUACCCCACUAUUCCCCUGAACCAGGCAGUUAACCCCACUGUUCCCUGGUAGGCUGUCAUUGUAAAUAAUGAUUUGUUCUUAACUGACUUGGCCUAUUUAAAUAAAGGUUAAAUAAUUAAAAAAAAUAGAACAGGUUGGCAUUUAUAUUCAUGAAUGUUGUAGUGGAUGGAGGCUCUGCAGAGAGGUCAUUAGCUGGCAUUGCCACAAAGUCACACAAUCUGAUUUUAAAUCUAACCUUAACCACACUGCUAACCCUAAAUGCCUAAUAUUAAUAUUGUUCAAAUUUCUAGAUACAUUUUUUUUUUUUAAUCAAUUUUAUAAUAAGGCUGUAAUGUAACAAAGUGUGGAAAAAGUCAAGGGGUCUGAAUGCUAUUGGAAUGUACUGUAUCCUCGUCAGAGACCUGAAUGAUAGAUGUGUAAUUUGUAAGUCGCUCUGGAUAAGAGCGUCUGCUAAAUGACUUAAAUGUAAAUGUAAAUGUUAACUCACCUAGUUAAAUGACUAAAUUACUUCCCUCUGUGUCUCUGUAGGGGGGUGAGUUAGUUAGGCUUUAGCUCAGGAGCAUUAUGGGUGUUAGGGCAUGACCCAGGGUUCAAACUCACUGGGUUGUUUUCCCUCUGUGUCUCUGUAGGGGGGUGAGUUAGUUAGGCUUUAGCUCAGGAGCAUUAUGGGUGUUAGGGCAUGACCCAGGGUUCAAACUCACUGGGUUGUUUUCCCUCUGUGUCUCUGUAGGGGGGUGAGUUAGUUAGGCUUUAGCUCAGGAGCAUUAUGGGUGUUAGGGCAUGACCCAGGGUUCACACUCACUGGGUUGUUUUCCCUCUGUGUCUCUGUAGGGGGGUGAGUUAGUUAGGCUUUAGCUCAGGAGCAUUAUGGGUGUUAGGGCAUGACCCAGGGUUCACACUCACUGGGUUGUUUUCCCUCUGUGUCUCUGUAGGGGGGUGAGUUAGUUAGGCUUUAGCUCAGGAGCAUUAUGGGUGUUAGGGCAUGACCCAG